GUAGGUGGCAAGCGUUGUCCGGGAAUUAUUGGGGCGUAAAGCGCGCGCAGGCGGUUCUUUAAGUCUGAUGUGAAAGCCCACGGGCUCAACCGUGGAGGGUCAUUGGAAACUGGAGAACUUGAGUACAGAAGAGGAAAGCGGAAUUCCACGUGUAGCGGUGAAAUGCGUAGAGAUGUGGAGGAACACCAGUGGCGAAGGCGGCUUUCUGGUCUGUAACUGACGCUGAGGCGCGAAAGCGUGGGGAGCGAACAGGAUUAGAUACCCUGGUAGUCCACGCCGUAAACGAUGAGUGCUAAGUGUUAGGGGGUUUCCGCCCCUUAGUGCUGCAGCUAACGCAUUAAGCACUCCGCCUGGGGAGUACGGCCGCAAAGGCUGA
rnacentral:rRNA from 1 species